rnacentral:misc_RNA from 1 species
UCCGAGUUGACCCCGGCAGUCUCCUAUGAGUCCCCGGCCGAACCGCUGGCAACAUAGGACGAGGGUUGCGCUCGUUGCGGGACUUAACCCAACAUCUCACGACACGAGCUGACGACAACCAUGCACCACCUGUACACCGACCUUGCGGGGGCCCUAUCUCUAGGGCUUUCCGGUGUAUGUCAAGCCUUGGUAAGGUUCUUCGCGUUGCGUCGAAUUAAGCCACAUGCUCCGCCGCUUGUGCGGGCCCCCGUCAAUUCCUUUGAGUUUUAGCCUUGCGGCCGUACUCCCCAGGCGGGGCGCUUAAUGCGUUAGCUGCGGCACGGAGAACGUGGAAGGUUCCCCACACCUAGCGCCCAACGUUUACGGCGUGGACUAC